rnacentral:rRNA from 1 species
UGAGGAAUUUUGCGCAAUGGGGGAAACCCUGACGCAGCAACGCCGCGUGGGUGAUGAAGGCCUUCGGGUCGUAAAGCCCUGUCGGGCGGGAAGAACGUCCCUUCGGGGAAUGACGGUACCGCCAGAGGAAGCACCGGCUAACUCCGUGCCAGCAGUCGCGGUAAUACGGAGGGUGCAAGCGUUAUUCGGAAUUACUGGGCGUAAAGGGCGUGCAGGCGGGAGAGCAAGUCUGAUGUGAAAGCCCGGGGCUUAACCCCGGAAGGACAUUGGAAACUGAUUUUCUGGAGUUCUGGAGAGGAAGGGAGAAUUCCCGGUGUAGAGGUGAAAUUCUUAGAGAUCGGGAGGAACAUCAGUGGCGAAGGCGCCCUUCUGGACAGCAACUGACGCUGAGACGCGAAAGCGUGGGGAGCAAACA